UACGGGGGGAGCAAGCGUUGUUCGGAUUUACUGGGCGUAAAGGGCGCGUAGGCGGCGUGACAAGUCACUUGUGAAAUCUCCGGGCUUAACUCGGAACGGUCAAGUGAUACUGUCGUGCUAGAGUACAGAAGGGGCAACUGGAAUUCUCGGUGUAGCGGUGAAAUGCGUAGAUAUCAGGAAGAACACCCGUGGCGAAGGCGGCUCUCUGGGCCGAUACUGACGCUGAGGAGCGAAAGCGUGGGGAGCGAACAGG
rnacentral:rRNA from 1 species